GGUGCUCGCUUUGGCGCCAUGUGCGCUAAAAUUGGAACGAUACAGAUAAAACUAGCACGGCCCCUGUGCAAGGGAGACACACACAUUCGUGAAAUGCCCCGUAUUUUU
ensembl:snRNA U6 U6 spliceosomal RNA